UCCGAAACGUCCGUGGUCCGAAAUGUCCGUAAUUCAUUUGGAAUUGUUUUGUAUGUUUCGCUAGAAUUAGUUAAUUAUCAGUGACGUGUUUUUGAAAGUGAAACAAGGUGUAAAAGACAUGGCAGAGAAGGAGGAUAUUGCAAAUAAUCCAUUUGCAGCAUUAUUUCCAAGUAUUGACCAAGCACAACUUUUUAUUGCUAAUAAACAAAUCGCAAAACAAGAAAAUGGUAUAAUAACUUCAGUGCCGACAGAAAGUACUAUACCUCAGUGUACUGACAUCAAAGAACUUUCCAGACAGAAAACACAGAUAAGCACCCUGCUUGAACAUAUCUUUCUCAUUACUUUGGAUAAUGGUA